rnacentral:rRNA from 1 species
UACGUAGGGUGCAAGCGUUGUCCGGAAUUAUUGGGCGUAAAGAGCUCGUAGGCGGUUUGUCGCGUCUGCCGUGAAAGUCCGGGGCUCAACUCCGGAUCUGCGGUGGGUACGGGCAGACUAGAGUGAUGUAGGGGAGACUGGAAUUCCUGGUGUAGCGGUGGAAUGCGCAGAUAUCAGGAGGAACACCGGUGGCGAAGGCGGGUCUCUGGGCCGAUACUGACGCUGAGGAGCGAAAGCGUGGGGAGCGAACAGG